rnacentral:rRNA from 1 species
AUUGAACGCUGGCGGCAUGCUUUACACAUGCAAGUCGAACGGUAACAGGCCUUCGGGUGCUGACGAGUGGCGAACGGGUGAGUAAUGCAUCGGAACGUGCCCAGAGGUGGGGGAUAACGCAGCGAAAGCUGUGCUAAUACCGCAUGUGAUCUGAGGAUGAAAGCGGGGGACCAGGCAGCAAUGUUUGGCCUCGCGCCUUUGGAGCGGCCGAUGUCAGAUUAGGUAGUUGGUGGGGUAAAGGCCUACCAAGCCGACGAUCUGUAGCUGGUCUGAGAGGACGACCGCCCACACUGGAACUGAGACGCGGCCCAGACGCCUACGGGAGGCAGCAGUGGGGAAUUUUGGACAGUGGGCGCAAGCCUGAUCCAGCAAUGCCGCGUGCGAGAAGAAGGCCUUCGGGUUGUAAACCGCUUUUGUACGUAACGAAAAGGCUCUGGCUAAUACCUGGGGCUGAUGACGGUACCGUAAGAAUAAGCACCGGCUAACUACGUG